rnacentral:lncRNA from 1 species
GCCUGGUCCUUCUCGCGCAGGGCGAAGUCCAGGUCCUCAACGGCCUGGAUGAACUCCUUGCGCAGGCCCAGGGCGGCCUUCUUGGCCUCCUUCUCCUUGGUCGAGGCCAGGGUGUUCAGGUCGAAGCGCAGGGUGCCGACCUGGCGGCGCAGCUGCUCGCGAGCCUCAGUCCUGUUGCGAGGGAAGGGGCAGGGUGGUGGGGAGGGAAGGUCAGCAUCCCGUGUGUCGGAAUUCGUUUUGAUCCGUAUUAUGGUUGCUCCUGUAGCAUUUGAACUUUCUUGCGGAUGCCCGUACCCAAGCCGUAUUAGGUCGCGCUGGAAACCCUGAGCAAGCAUAUUGGCCCCGUCUCGACGACAUCGCGCUCACCAGUAGGACUUCUGGAUGAACACGUCCAGGUCAGCGUCGAUGCGGGCCUCAGACUCCUUCACGCGCUUCUUGGUCUCGUCCAGGGAAGCGCGAGCCUGGGUGAAGCCCUCGCGGACGUUCUGGGGCAGGUCCAGGUCGCUGCACGCAUACAGCAUAGAUCGCACUUAUUAUUGAAGCGCUAUCCCAAACGAUAUCGACAGCUGAUUGAGAUCAGCUGGAAACAUGCCGCACCUUUUGCGGGUGCAACAUGCCAACGCAAGUCCCGACUUACCGGGCCUCGUAGAUCAGGUCGAAGCCGCGGUCGCGAACCGAGCGGUCAUCGAACAGGUCGACGGGGGUCAGAGCAAGGGCAGCCUUGGGGGCCACGGCGGCGACAGCGCUCGCCAGCAGACCGCCCAGCACCUGCGCGCAAAGAUAACGCCAGAUCAGUCCCAGCUCCAUUCACAAACGCGGCCUAAUGCCCCCACGACAUUUCAUUCUUGUCUUACCGCGCGGCGCGACUCGCCGGAGGCGCGCACAACCACGGCACCCCUGCGAAACGAAACAUUGAAAGCGUGUCAAGCUUCCGACGCUUCCCAGGGCGCAUAAUCUGCAGAUCUAGCGCCACAGCUGCCUUGAUAGCAGCAUCCUGUUGCUGAGCUGGCUCGUUUACGCUAUGGCUGCGCCUUGAGCUCGCUGAAAUGCUCACCGGCGGGAGGCCACGGCGGGGCGGGUAGCAACCUUAGAGGCGAGGGCCAUCUUUGCUAUUAGGUUGAAGUGGUUGCGGAGAAGUGACAGACGAUGCUUGCGAGCGA